GCCAACGGUGAUCUAUACCUCCCCAGGCUAGGCCCCCAUAUCAGAGUGGGGGAUCUGUAAAUUACCAAGGUGCCCAAUAGGGGUGCCCAGAGAACCAAGGCAGAGUAGGACAGCAUGUAAUGAUAACAAACGGGCCAGAACAAGAACCUAUAACAAAUGUACAAAUCGGAGGAAAAAUUGUCCCCAUGAUGAUAGAUACUGGAGCAACAUGCACAUGCAUUAGGAAAGAAUAUGCCUCACAUCUGCCACUGUCGGGAGAAGUUAUUCAAACAGUAGGGUUCUCUGGGAAAACAAUGUUAAGCCCGACCACAAAACCGGUAUUAAUAAAAAUAGGCGCAAAAGAAGCAAAAUUAGAGGUAGUAGUAUGCAAAAAUUCCCCCGUAAGCCUUCUAGGAAGAGAUGCAAUUCUGGCCUUAGGACUAAAAUUAAACUGUGAAGGAGAGGGCAUAGAUUUAACAGGAAUGUACUAUAUGAGAAGUGAAAACCUCCACAUGGCAAAUAUAUAUUGGGUAGGGGAUAUUAAGACACAAGUAAAAGACCAAGUGUGGAGCACUUGGCAAAAAUAUGUUGAGGCUCAGAUCCCGCAGGCAACUGGGCCAGAAUAUGACUUACAUUGCACUAUGAGGUUCGAUCCCUACCAGGAUCCAGAUCUAGAAAGAGAGUGGAGUAAGGGAAAAGGAGAAAGACAAUAUUUGGUGCCAACUGCGCUCCUGAUAGGACAGGAAGGAGCAGCAUUAAACAUAGCAAGGACCCCAUGGAUUGAGCAGUGGUUUCAGGAGGAACAUGCGGCGCCAUUUCAAAAUUCCCUCCAAAACACCCAGGUUCCAGAGAGCGCCCGGAACUGAGAGAGAACCUGUUCAAGAGCAUACCAGUGUGCAGUGUGAGUGAAGGAAAUAGUGCAAUAUUUAAGAGGUAUUAAUUUGCUGAUUGAGAAACUACAAAGAAAUUGGCAAAGUCAAAGCAGAAAGAGGAGUUGGGUGAGAAUAUCCAAGUGGCCUCCUGGAGCCAUCCUGAGAGCAAGCAGAUUAAUAAUAUCAUGAGAGUGGGCUUCUUCCUCCCGAAGAACAUGCUGUCCCUUCUGGAUUCUGAAAAAAUGCUGCUUCUGAGACCAAAUGCAACAUUCAAAGCUAGAAUUACGGGAAAUAUCAUGAGCCUGAUUAAUAAUAUCAUGAGAGUGGGCUUCUUCCUCCCGAAGAACAUGCUGUCCCUCCUGGAUUCUGAAAAAAUGAUUUCAACUCUGGAGAUCAAAGGCACUGAUGGGGAAAUAGAGCUUGCUGAUGAAGACAAGAUAGAACACUCUUCAAAUACAAGAGAAUAUUCAAAUGCUGCUGUCAUCAACAUCCUACUUGUCAUCACAGUGUCAAAUGACUUCAGAGACAAAAGGAAAACCCUGAAAUUUGGUGAUAAGCGUGUUGUAAUUAAGGGGGUUUGUACAUUCCUGUUGAUUUUUCAAGUACAAAAAAACAGAUUUUUCGACACACAAACUCUUCAUCCUGAUCCUGUUGAAAUUCCCUUGUAUUGUAAUAUUAACCUCAAUGAAUUUCUUUAUGCAUCGAAAGUAAUAUAUUCCAACAUUGUAAAAUAUUUAAAGUCCAACAAAAUAAAAAAAAAAUCAAAUGAGGGUAAAGCAGCCAAUCAGCUAAAAUCUUAUCUGAAAAAGACAGAUAUAAUUUUUGCCAUUGGAAGGAUCCUUGGUUCCAAAAUUCCAACUUUUCCUGAAUUUGUUCGAAUAUGGUUUCACAAAUAUAAGAAUGAAGCAAAAGAAAAAAUCAACCCACGUUUUCAACAUGCAUUGGUUUUCAUACUGGAUUCCACUGAGAAUUGUGUUUUUUUUGAAUGUCAAGAAUUGCCAAAAAGUAAAAAUAAUGAACCGAGAGAGCAUACUGAACCUCUUCUGUGCAAAAAGAUUGAUGAGUUUAUUCAAAGCAAAAGCUAUACAAGCAUCAAUGUAUACAGAAUGUAUUUUUAUACUCUAUACUCUCCAUGCAUUAUGAACAAAUCAUGUGAUUCCUGCAUGGAUACUCUUUUCAGGAAAUGUGAAGAGUGGAGAAUUCAAUGUUUUAUUGGCUUCAGUAAAAGCUAUGGAUUAGAUGGCAGUGUGAGUGAAAAAAAUCUCAAAGAAGUUCUGGUUCCAUUAAUUAGGCAGUUAACGAAGUUCCCCCAUACUCAGUACCAAGAUUAUUCAGACAGGAAAAAUAUUACUAAGAUACAAUUUAAUCUUAUGAAAGAGGUGAUAAAUAGCGACCACACAGAGAAAAAUGAUUUAAAUAUUGAAAAGCUGAAAUAUUUACUUAAAGCUCGUCUGAACCCAAUUGUGAGUAAUAUUCGCCAGGAUUUCAAGAAAAACCCUGAAACAGAUAAAAAGAACCAGAAAAAUAUAACAGAACAGUACACAAAGCUGAAAGAAGGUAUAGAUCACAUCGGCAAGGAAUAUCCUUUUAAUGACCCAAACCAAGAAAGAAAGCGCAUUGCAGAAUCUAUAAGUAUGCCUGUGCUGAUUAGUAAAUUUAAUGAAGUCUGGGACUCUGUCAUUAAUGAAGCCCUGCAGGAAAAGGAAGAAGAGUUUUAUGUCAAGCGUUUUUGCCAAAUGUACAGUGAGUGUCUGGUUGCUACCUUUUUAGAUGUAAACCAAAAUAACAAUUACAUAAAAUUUGGCUUUUUGACUUAGAUUUCUUCAAAACCUAUAUUUUAUCUUUAUUUUUUAUUAUUACUUUAUAGGGGGCAACAUAGCUCAGGAGGUAAGAGGGGUUGUCUGGCAAUCGGAGGGUUGCCGAUUUGAUCCCCCGCCCUGGGCGUGUCAAAGUGUCCCUGAGCAAGACACCUAACCCCUAAUUGCUCCCAACGAGCUGAUUGGUACCUUGCAUGGCAGCCUUUCACCGUUGGUGUGUGAGUGUGUGUGUGAAUAGGUGAAUGAGAGGCAUCAAUUGUAAAGCGCUAUAUAAAUGCAUGCCAUUUACCAUAUUGUAAUUUAACAAUGUUUUUUUUUUUUUUUUAAUUGAAGUACUUUCUUUCUGAUUGUGCAUUGUUUCAAAGCUUGUACUACAUGUAAAGGUCUAUGAUGUUACUUUACACCAGGCUGGCCAGUGGAGGAUGGGCUCCCCCUCUAUAGCCGGGUUCCUCUCGAGAUUUCUUCCCAUUGGGGAGUUUUUUCUCGCCACUGUUUGAGGGUUUUCUCCCCACGGGGAGUUUUUUACCUUAUGUACCUGCUAUUUGGGGGUUCAGGCCUGGUGUUUGCUCUGUAUGCUCUUUUUUGCUCUGUCUCUUGCCUUGCUACUCUGUAAAGUGUCUUUGUGACAGUUCUCUGUAAAAAGCGCUAUACAAAUAAAAUUGAAUUGAAAUUGAA